rnacentral:rRNA from 1 species
UACGUAGGGUGCGAGCGUUGUCCGGAAUUAUUGGGCGUAAAGAGCUCGUAGGCGGUUUGUCACGUCUGCUGUGAAAUCCCGAGGCUCAACCUCGGGCCUGCAGUGGGUACGGGCGAGACUGGAGUGCGGGUAGGGGAGAAUGGAAUUCCUGGUGUAGCGGUGGAAUGCGUAGAUAUCUGGAGGAACACCGGUGGCGAAGGCGGCAUCCUGGACCGACACUGACGCUGAGGAGCGAAAAGCCAGGGGAGCAACGGG